CCUACGGGAGGCAGCAGUGAGGAAUAUUGGUCAAUGGACGAGAGUCUGAACCAGCCAAGUAGCGUGAAGGAUGACUGCCCUAUGGGUUGUAAACUUCUUUUAUAUGGGAAUAAAACGUUCCACGUGUGGGAGUUUGUAUGUACCAUAUGAAUAAGGAUCGGCUAACUCCGUGCCAGAAGCCGCGGUAAUACGGAGGAUCCGAGCGUUAACCGGAAUUAUUGGGUUUAAAGGGAGCGUAGGUGGAUUGUUAAGUCAGUUGUGAAAUGUUGCGGCUCAACCGUAAAAUUGCAGUUGAAACUGGCAGUCUUGAGUGCAGGAGAGGUGAGCGGAAUUCGUGGUGUAGCGGUGAAAUGCUUAGAUAUCACGAGGAACAUCGAUUGCGAAGGCAGUUCACUGGACUGCAACUGACGCUGAGGCUCGAAAGUGUGGGUAGCAAACAGGAUUAGAUACCCGUGUAGUC
rnacentral:rRNA from 1 species